AACGAACGCUGGCGGCAUGCCUAACACAUGCAAGUCGAACGAUGCUUUCGGGCAUAGUGGCGCACGGUUGCGUAACGCGUGGGAAUCUGCCCUGGUGUUCGGGAUAACAGCGGGAAACUGCUGCUAAUACCGGAUGAUAUCGCGAGAUCAAAGAUUUAUCGCCCUGGGAUGAGCCCGCGUCGGAUUAGGUAGUUGGUGGGGUAAGAGCCUACCAAGCCGACGAUCCGUAGCUGGUCUGAGAGGAUGAUCAGCCACACUGGGACUGAGACACGGCCCAGACUCCUACGGGAGGCAGCAGUGGGGAAUAUUGGACAAUGGGCGCAAGCAUGAACCAGCAAUGACGCGUGAGUGAUGAAGGCCUUAGGGUUGUAAAGCUCUUUUAACCGGGAUGAUAAUGACAGUACCGGGAGAAUAAGCCCCGGCUAACUCCGUG
rnacentral:rRNA from 1 species